AGUGAACGCUGGCGGUAGGCCUAACACAUGCAAGUCGAACGGCAGCACAGUAAGAGCUUGCUCUUACGGGUGGCGAGUGGCGGACGGGUGAGGAAUACAUCGGAAUCUACUUUUUCGUGGGGGAUAACGUAGGGAAACUUACGCUAAUACCGCAUACGCCCUACGGGUGAAAGCAGGGGAUCUUCGGACCUUGCGCGAUUGAAUGAGCGGAUGUCGGAUUAGCUAGUUGGCGGGGUAAAGGCCAACCAAGGCGACGAUCCGUAGCUGGUCUGAGAGGAUGAUCAGCCACACUGGAACUGAGACACGGUCCAGACUCCUACGGGAGGCAGCAGUGGGGAAUAUUGGACAAUGGGCGCAAGCCUGAUCCAGCCAUACCGCGUGGGUGAAGAAGGCCUUCGGGUUGUAAAGCCCUUUUGUUGGGAAAGAAAAGCAGCAGGUUAAUACCCCGCUGUUCUGACGGUACCCAAAGAAUAAGCACCGGCUAACUUCGUG
rnacentral:rRNA from 1 species